GAUUAGCUUGUUGGUGGGGUAACGGCUCACCAAGGCGACGAUCCCUAGCUGGUCUGAGAGGAUGACCAGCCACACUGGAACUGAGACACGGUCCAGACUCCUACGGGAGGCAGCAGUGGGGGAUAUUGCACAAUGGAGGAAACUCUGAUGCAGCAACGCCGCGUGAGGGAAGAAGGUCUUCGGAUUGUAAACCUUUGUCCUUGGUGACGAAACAAAUGACGGUAGCCAAGGAGGAAGCUCCGGCUAACUACGUGCCAGCAGCCGCGGUAAUACGUAGGGAGCAAGCGUUGUCCGGAUUUACUGGGUGUAAAGGGUGCGUAGGCGGCUCUGCAAGUCAGGCGUGAAAUACAUGGGCUUAACCCAUGGACUGCGUUUGAAACUGUGGAGCUUGAGUGGAGUAGAGGUAGGCGGAAUUCCCGGUGUAGCGGUGAAAUGCGUAGAGAUCGGGAGGAACACCAGUGGCGAAGGCGGCCUACUGGGCUUUAACUGACGCUGAGGCACGAAAGCAUGGGUAGCAAACAGGAUUAGAUACCCUGGUAGUCCAUGCUGUAUUCUUUUAUUACUAGGUGUGGGGGGUCUGACCCCUUCSGUGCCCGGAGUUAACACAAUAAGUAAUCCACC
rnacentral:rRNA from 1 species